GGGCAGGAUGGAGCAGGCAGGUAGGGCAGGCAGGCGGAUGGAACAGGCGAGACAGACAGGGCAGGCGGAACAGCAGGGCAGGAUGGAGCAGGCAGGUAGGGCAGGCAGGGGAAGGCAGGCGGAUGGAACAGGCGAGACAGACAGGGCAGGCGGAACAGCAGGGCAGGAUGGAGCAGGCAAGUAGGGCAGGCAGGGGAAGGCAGGCGGAUGGAACAGGCGAGACAGACAGGGCAGGCGGAACAGCAGGGCAGGAUGGAGCAGGCAAGUAGGGCAGGCAGGGGAAGGCAGGCGGAUGGAACAGGCGAGACAGACAGGGCAGGCGGAACAGCAGGGCAGGAUGGAGCAGGCAGGGGAAGGCAGGCGGAUGGAACAGGCGAGACAGAC